UUCUCGGGUUGCGCUUCCAGUUAUCAGUUUGCAUAUUCCGCAGCCAGUAAUCAUGUUGUUAACAAGCUCCAAGAUUUUAGAAACUUUUCUUCCGGUCGUGAUUGCGUUUCAGUUAGUUACGGCCGACAAUCCCGACUGCGGUGCACUGGCCCAAAAUUACACAGCGGCCCUGGACACCUUAAAUUUUAAUUACUCCAUGGUGCUGGGCUUGACGUGUCCGCCACCGGAGAGUCUGCUCCAUGCCUUUUUGUGCAAGCCGGACAACUCAACCGAUGCUGCUCCUCUACUCAACGAUUUCUGUUCAAUGGUUCGCUCGACGGGACAGCUGGGUGCGGAAUUUUCCCGGCAGUGCCCCAGCACGAGCAUAGAGAGAACCGUUGAGUAUACUCCGGAUGUCUUUUUGGUGUUGGCUACUUUAUGUGAAACCGGUGACCUUGCCAAAUACAUAAGGGCCAUAACACCUUGUAUACGGAAAAGAGAGUACGCUAGACGACGUUUACGGGAGACCUAUAGCGCGGAGGAAAAGUGGGCCCCCGGAUUUGAUUUCUGUCACUGAACCGUGCAUGAUGUGUUUUCCUCAUAAAUUCAGGGUUAACAGACCAGUCCUCUGCCGGAUUCUACAGAGUGUGCUAGCAUACGCCAAUGGCGACAAGGAUAAAAGUGUUGUGGAGAUAUGUGGACAAGAGGCGCUGGAUGUCAUCCUGGAACUGCGCGAGAAAGCGUUGCAGGCUCUUGACUGCGCCGAAUUUGGCGAUUAUGUUAGAACUUUCGGAUACAUGAAUGUCAAGUAUCAGGACGGCAAGAUGAUCGAGUAACGAAAUGGAAACCAGUACUAACAACUUGUUAGUAACAAGCGUAUUGUUACCAGGUUUCGGUGUAAGGACAGCUGUACAGUGUACACCUUAAACAGUAAACAGUAUGUCAUGGUUUCAUGUUCUUUGUUCUGCUUUCUGUU